AUGGGGCCAGGGCGAUGGUCUGGGACCCUGACAAAAAAAGUGCAAGAUGCCGCGAAAACUCCCAGCCUCUUCCCACUGAUCUACCCCAGAUGUGCAUUGAAAGACACUCCAGCGACCGUGAUCGCCGGCUGCCUGAUCCGGGGCUUCUUCCCCCUGGGCCCUCUGAGUGUGAGCUGGGAUGGCUACGAAGGCAGGGAGAACGUGACCUUCCCGCCUGUCCCGUCUGGCACUUCAGGCCCGUACACCACGUGCAGCGUGCUGAGCCUGACAACAGACCUGUGUCCUGAGGAUGACAGUGUGGCCUGCCACGUGGAGCACAACAACAACAGACAGGAUCUGACUGUGUCCUGUCCCCCAGGUCAGAGGGCGGCUGGGGGCCCUGGGUGCAGAGAGCCCAGCCUGUCCCUGCAGCGGCCAGACCUCGGGGACCUGCUCCUGGAAUCGAAGGCCAGCCUCACCUGCACCCUGAGAGGCCUGAAGGACCCCAAAGACGCCGUCUUCACCUGGGAGCCCACAAACGGGAACGAACCCGUCCAGCAGAGCGCCCAGCGUGACCCCUGCGGCUGCUACAGUGUGUCCAGCGUGCUGCCCGGCUGUGCGGAGCCCUGGAAUGAGGGGAAGGAAUUCACCUGCACAGUCACCCACCCUGAGAUAGAGGGCGGCUCCCUGACAGCCACCAUCAGCAGAGGCAGCCUCACCCCGCCCCAGGUACACCUGCUGCCGCCGCCGACCGAGGAGCUGGCCCUCAACGCGCUGGUGACGCUGACCUGCCUGGUGCAGGGCUUCAGCCCCAAGGACGUGCUGGUGUCCUGGACACACAAUGACACCCCGGUGGUCCCCAAAGACAGCUACCUGGUGUGGAAGCCCCUGCCCGAGCCCGGCCAGGAACCCACCACCUACGCCGUCACCAGCCUGCUGCGCGUGUCAGCCGAGGACUGGAACCAGGGGGACAGCUACUCCUGCGUGGUGGGCCAUGAGGGCCUGGCCGAGCACUUCACCCAGAAGACCAUCGACCGGCAGGCGGGUAAACCCACCCACGUCAACGUGUCUGUGGUUGUGGCAGACGUGGAAGGCGUGUGCUACUGA